rnacentral:rRNA from 1 species
GAAUCCCGUCUUUGGCACGGAAACCCCAGGGCUUUUGUGAUGCGCUCUCGAAGAGUCGAGUUGUUUGGGAAUGCAGCUCAAAAUGGGUGGUGAACUCCAUCUAAAGCUAAAUAUUGGCGAGAGACCGAUAGCGAACAAGUACCGUGAGGGAAAGAUGAAAAGCACUUUGGAAAGAGAGUGAAACAGUACGUGAAAUUGUUGAAAGGGAAACGCUUGAAGUCAGUCGCGUCGACCGAGACUCAGCCUUGCCCUUGGCUUGGUGUGCUUCUCGGCUGACGGGUCAGCAUCAAUUUUGCCCCUUGGAUAAUGGCGAGGGAAAUGUGACACCUUUACGGUGUGUUAUAGUCUCUCGUCGCAUGCAAGGGUUGGGAUUGAGGAACUCAGCACGCACCUUUGGGUGUCGGGGUUUUGCCCACGAUACGUGCUUAGGAUGUUGGCGUAAUGGCUUUAAACGACCCGUCUUGAAACACGGACCAAGGAGUCUAACAUGCCUGCGAGUGUUCGGGUGGAAAACUCGUGCGCGCAAUGAAAGUGAAAGUUGGGACCUCUGUCGUGGAGGGCACCGACGCCCGGACCAGACCUUCUGUGACGGCUCUGCGGUAAAGCGUGUAUGUUAGGACCCGAAAGAUGGUGAACUAUGCCUGAAUAGGGUGAAGCCAGAGGAAACUCUGGUGGAGGCUCGUAGCGAUUCUGACGUGCAAAUCGAUCGUCAAAUUUGGGUAUAGGGGCGAAAGACUAAUCGAACCAUCUAGUAGCUGGUUCCUGCC